rnacentral:rRNA from 1 species
AUUGAACGCUGGCGGCAGGCCUAACACAUGCAAGUCGAACGGUAACAGGAAGCAGCUUGCUGCUUUGCUGACGAGUGGCGGACGGGUGAGUAAUGUCUGAGAAACUGCCCGAUGGAGGGGGAUAACUACUGGAAACGGUAGCUAAUACCGCAUAACGUCGCAAGACCAAAGAGGGGGACCUUAGGGCCUCUUGCCAUCGGAUGUGCCCAGAUGGGAUUAGCUAGUAGGUGGGGUAACGGCUCACCUAGGCGACGAUCCCUAGCUGGUCUGAGAGGAUGACCAGCCGCACUGGAACUGAGACACGGUCCAGACUCCUACGGGAGGCAGCAGUGGGGAAUAUUGCACAAUGGGCGCAAGCCUGAUGCAGCCAUGCCGCGUGUAUGAAGAAGGCCUUCGGGUUGUAAAGUACUUUCAGCGGGGAGGAAGGGAGUAAAGUUAAUACCUUUGCUCAUUGACGUUACCCGCAGAAGAAGCACCGGCUAACUCCGUG